GACGGAGGGGGCUAGCGUUGUUCGGAAUUACUGGGCGUAAAGCGCACGUAGGUGGCGACGUAAGUCGGGUGUGAAAGCCCCGGGCUCAACCUGGGAAUUGCAUUCGAGACUGCAUUGCUGGAGUACGGAAGAGGAAGGCGGAAUUCCCGGUGUAGCGGUGAAAUGCGUAGAUAUCGGGAGGAACAUCAGUGGCGAAGGCGGCCUUCUGGUCCAGUACUGACACUCAAGUGCGAAAGCGUGGGGAGCAAACAGG
rnacentral:rRNA from 1 species